CUUCCGCCUAAUUUUGCUCUUGCGAUAAACAUUUGUUUCGCAAUAUGUCGCUUAGAUAUUUGGUAUAUGAUAUCGAACAGUUUAUGCGCUUUUGAAAUUUACCCUGCGUAAACGAAUACUUUUCUUUGUAGGAGUUAUCUCCCCCAAACACUGUUUUCCUUGUUAGCGCAUCUCCUUCGCAACCGUAAAAGAUUAAGACAAAUUUAUUUUACAAAAUUGCUCGUUAUAUCCUUCGCAUGAUUUGUCCUAUUUGACCGAAGCGAUAUGACCGCUCCAUAUGAGAGUUAUUUCCCCUUAUGCAUCUGAUAUAAGUGAUAUGAAUUUCUAUCUUAUAAAUCAU
rnacentral:lncRNA from 1 species